AUUGAACGCUGGCGGCAUGCCUUACACAUGCAAGUCGAACGGCAGCACGGGUGCUUGCACCUGGUGGCGAGUGGCGAACGGGUGAGUAAUACAUCGGAACGUACCUUAUCGUGGGGGAUAACGCAGCGAAAGUUGCGCUAGUACCGCAUACGCCCAGAGGGGGAAAGCGGAGGACAGUAAGGCCUCGUGCGAUUAGAGCGGCCGAUGUCUGAUUAGCUUGUUGGUGAGGUAAAAGAUCACCAAGUCGAUGAUCAGUAGCCGGUCUGAGAGGACGAUCAGCCACACUGGGACUGAGACACGGCCCAGACUCCUACGGGAGGCAGCAGUGGGGAAUUUUGGACAAUGGGGGCAACCCUGAUCCAGCAAUGCCGCGUGAGUGAAGAAGGCCUUCGGGUUGUAAAGCUCUUUUGUCAGGGAAGAAACAGCAGCUCUAACUCAGUCUGCGAAUGACGGUACCUGAAGAAUAAGCACCGGCUAACUACGUGCCAGCCGCCGCGGUAA
rnacentral:rRNA from 1 species